CUUUCCUUGAUGACGACUGGCGCACGGGUGAGUAACGCGUAUCCAACCUUCCCAUAACUACGGGAUAACCCGUUGAAAGACGGCCUAAUACCGUAUGAUAUCGUUUGCUGACAUCAAAUAACGAUUAAAGGUUUAGCGGUUAUGGAUGGGGAUGCGUCUGAUUAGCUUGUUGGCGGGGUAACGGCCCACCAAGGCAACAUCAGUAGGGGUUCUGAGAGGAAGGUCCCCCACAUUGGAACUGAGACACGGUCCAA
rnacentral:rRNA from 1 species